rnacentral:misc_RNA from 1 species
GGUAAGGCUGUGUACAUCAACCCUUCCAAAACCGAUGAGAUGUUUCGUACACUGAGUCACACUUUUAUCAUUUUUUGUCAAUGCCCGUGACAAGAAAAUAUUCUUGGCCUCUUUGUGGAACUCUGCAUUUGGUCUUGUAGAGGAUUUUCUUUAGCAGAUAUCUAGAGAGAUGGAAGAGCCAGAUAUAAUAACAUCAAACCACCUGAAGAAGAGGGGAAAAAAAAUCUAGUUCUUACCACCCGAAGAAGUGAAACCCAAAAUUCCGGUGGAGAUGAAGGUGCACCAUAAGGAUUAUUAGGAUCUUGAGCUCCGUAUGGACCCAUCCUGCCCAUUCCAUAGCUGCCCAUUGGACCUCCAAAACCAACAUUAUGCAUUCCACCACCAUACACCCAGACCCAUAAAGUCUCCCAUAGCCUCCUCCAUACAUGCUAUUACCAUACAUCCCUCCACCAUACAUUCCUUUACCAUACAUCCCUCCACCAUACAUUCCUCCAAGCCCACCAUGCAUAUGAAACAUACAUACCCAAACCAUAGCCAGAGUGAUAGUUAAGACUGGAAUUAUAACUUGGAUUACAUUAACAAGAGUUUUGAAGAAAAGGGUAAAUAGCUCCAUAAAACAAGUAAGCAUAUUUGCUAGUAAAGAUUCAUUUACCUCCAUAGUUGCUGGUGCCAUAGUUAUGCUGCCAUGGACUUGGAGGAGCAGGCCUUCCAAGGGCAUUUCUGUUGACUGAGGCAUUCCUGUGUAAACUUGGAACAAUUUCUCCAGGUUUUGCAGUUCCUGAAGCCUCCACUACAUCAAUUGUGCUGCCAGAUGAUGGAGGUUUAAAAGGUGUAGAACCAGAAGGACCACAGGCUCGUUCCUAAGGUUUUGGAGGAGGAUUAUUAGCUGCAGUGUUCAAACAUUAUUAUGUACAAUAACUAACAGGAAACGUCACAAAGCAAUAAAUAAAUAAUAAACAGAAUGAGAAAGGAGGAGGAAAAUGUAGAUAGAUGCAAUGACAGAGACAUUUUUUAUAUAAUUAAUAAAGAAAAUAGGUCUUCUCAGUUGGCAGGUCUAUUUAGGUAAAGGAAAUACCUUUAACAAAAUCAUCAGAAGUCUGCAAAAUAGAUCACAAGAAUCUGAGAUUUGAAAAUACCCAAAAAAGAAAAUCCAAAUUAAAUAAAAAAAAUAUAUAAAUCAAUUUGAACGAAUAAAAAAAAAAGGCUCCUUGACAUAUUCUUCAAAAAAGAAGAAGAAAAGACUUCCGUACGAAUACAUCAUAAAUCUCAAGCAUAUUAUUCUAGCAAGACUUCCACAAGAUGAAAUAUGAAAUGCUAUUGAUUCUAAGAACUGCAAACCAUCAUUCCAUAUGACAAAUAAUCAAAUGAAAUAAAAAUUAGAAACAAUUUAAA